AAGCAAGCAGGGUUUUGUUGCUUCUUGUAAACAUUACUCUCGUGAAGUUCAGGAAAAUUAUAUUCAUUGUUCUUGGGUGAACCUCUGUAGAUAUUGGUGACUGAAGGUUCAGUAAAUGAUGACAAAUUU